GGGCCUGUGGUGUAACGGCAGCACGGAACCCCAUCAAGGUUACAGGUGCGGGUUCGAAUCCCGCCAGGUCCA
rnacentral:tRNA from 1 species